rnacentral:misc_RNA from 1 species
UCUCCCUCUCUCUCUCUCUCUUCCUUGGGGAGGGACGUUCACAGUUCACUUGCAAUUAACUUCAGGUUGACACGACACACCAGUUACUACUUCACAUGGAAUGGGAUUUUUGAAGAAAGGGCAUAGUUUUUUUGUUUCACAAGUGGAAUACUGAUGGAAGUAGGAACGCAAGAAUAAUUCCAGAAGAACAAUUGGAAGAGAAAUUGUAUUAAUAACCAAGAACAGUAAAUAAUACGAACAAUAUUUCUCAAUUACAAAGCUUUGAAGGAAUAUCUUCUCACUACUUUCUGGAAUACAUAAAUGAAAGAACAGAACUAAGAAACUUCCAUUUAGCCGGAGAAUUUAAUCCUCUUGCCCCAGGCAAUAAUGCCAAAAACAAUAACAGAAUUCUUCACAUCCUUUUCCUUCUUCCUGGUUCUAUGUAUAGAUUAUUUAACUUUUCAAUCUAUUAGAAGAAUCUCCAGGCUGCAUCUCCUCUGCAAUAUUUUCCAACAGAUUUGGCUCCUCCAUCCUCAUUCCUUCCCGCUCAUUGAUUCCAGAACCUGCUGCUUCUAUCUUCCUUCUUUGAAAAUAAACUCUGAGCAGUCCUGGGCUUGGAACCUCCCCUGCUGAGCCCAUCUUCUUAUCUUGAACCAUAACAUUGCCUCCCUCUUGAGAAUCAGCCUUGUCCUCAAGGCUGAAAUUACGAAAUUAUCCCUUGAAAUCAGAUUCAUCCAACCAGGUUGCUUCAUCUAUGGAUCGCCCUUUCCAUUUAACAAGCACUUGAGGCACAAUUUGGCGGUUACGAGUGAUUCUCCGCCUUUGAUAAAUGAAUUCUGGUUCCACCAUAGGUCCUUCUGCUUCCUCUAAAUUUGUAGGCAGAUCAAUAAUAACAGGGUCAUCUCCAAUGGCUCUCUUCAGUUGAGAUAUAUGGAAUAUAGGAUGGAUUUUUGAAGAAGUAGGCAGCCUUAGUUCAUAAGCAACAGCUCCAAUCUUCCCAAUUACCUCAAAUGGUCCACAAUAUCGGGCAGCCAACUUUUGGUAGACACGAAUGGUUACAGAUUUCUGUAUAUAAGGCCUUAGUUUCAAGAAAACCUUAUCUCCAACAGAGAAAUGCAUAUCCCUUCGAUGUUUAUUAGCAUAUUUCAUCAUUAAUUGCUGUGCUUUUUGUAAAUUAAAGGUGAGCUGCCUUAAAAUCUCAUUGCGAUCCUGCAAAUUUUGAGCUACUGAUUCUACUCGAGUUUCGCCUGGUAGAAACCUUUGCAACACUGGAGGUUGUCGCCCAUAAAUCAGUUCGAAAGGAGUUUUUCCAGUAGAAACUUGAAAAUUGGUAUUAUACCAAUAUUCAGCCCAACAUAGCCACUUAGACCACUGUUUUGGUUGCUCAGAUGAAAAGCAAUGAAGAUAGGAUUCCAAACAGCGAUUUAAUACCUCUGUUAGACCAUCCGUUUGUGGAUGAUAAGCUGUGCUAAACUUGAGCCAGUCCCUUGCAUUCGAAACAUCUCACUCCUGAAAUUAUAGAGGAAAAGUGGAUCUUUGUCACUCACCAAAGUUCUUGGAAGACCAUGCAAUUUCACCACUUCUUUAGUAAAAAUUUCAGUGACUUUGCAAUGUACGGAUGGCGCAAAGGAAUAAAAUGCCCAAACUUUGAGAGUCUAUCCACAACAACUACUAUACAAUCAACACCAUAUGAUCGAGGCAUCUCUGUUAUGAAAUCCAAUGCCAUAUCUUCCCAAAUUUGUUUUGGUAUGGGAAGAGGUUGAAGUAAGCUUGCUGGAGAUUGUGCCUCAUAUUUGUGUUUCUGGCAAACUAGGCAUGCGGCAACAUACUUCUAAAUUGCUCCCAUCAUUCCUUUCUAGUAGAAAUUUGAUGCCAUCCGAUGAUGAGUACGAUAAGCCCUAGAAUGACCACCAGAAGGCGUAUCAUGAAAUUCCAAAAUUAAUCCAUUGAGAUUUUGAAGGAAUAGCCAACCUGCCCUUGAAAUACAACCUAUCUUGGAUAAGAGAAAUUAGGAUGCAAUUUAGUACCACUUUUCAGGUUUAUAAUAAUGCCUCGUAAAAAUACAUCAGCUGCCACCUCUUUUGCAAUUUCACCCCAAUCAGCCCACUGAGGAAUAGAUAUCCAUUGCAAUUCUAAUUCCUCAUCUUUACGUGAUAGAGCAUCCGCUACCUUAUUGCUAGAGCUAGAUUUAUAUUCUACCAAGAUGCGAUAACCCAUCAACUUAGAAAGCCAAUAUUGUUGUGCAGGAGUACUGGCCUAUUGGAACAGUAGAUACUUGAGACUUUUAUGAUCUGUUCUCACAAUAAAUUUCUGGCCUAUUAAAUAGGGCCGCCAAUGUUGAAUUGCUGGCACCAAGGCUAUUAAUUCCCUUUCAUAUGCUGUACAGAUAGUGGAUUUAUCAGAAAUGGCUUUACUGAAGAAAGCAAUAGGCUGAUUCAGCUGCAUGAGAACUACACCCACUCCACUACCUGAGGCAUCACAUUCAAUAAUGAAAGGCAGUGAAAAAUUUGGCAGGAUCCAUCUCCACUCGUUUAACUGAAAUCACGUGGCCAAGAUACUCGACAGAAAUCUACCCCUAGGAUCAUUUUUUUCCGAUUUACAUGUAAAUGAUUAUGUUGAAGCAACCCAAGAACUAUUCUCAAAUGUUUUAGGUGUGAAUUCCAAUCCCGGCUAUAAAUCAGAAUGUCAUCGAAGAACACUAGGACGAAUUUUCGUAGAUGAUGUGAAAAUAUUUUCUCAUAUUUUUAAAGAAGGGUUAUAACAUAUUUAUACAAUUAUGAUCAUAACUAAGAAGGAAAGUAAUCCUAUAAUUAAGCUAAUACAUAUCUGUUAUGCUAUAAGUUAGGGAUACAAAUAAAUAUACAAAGUUGACAUUCCAUAAUAGUCAUAUACACAUUUUUUUAUUUUGCACAUUUUUAAUUACCAAUUGUUUUGGUAGUGUCAUAAUUGUCCUUGUAAAUAGUCAUACAUGUUCUCAUUUUGAUGCUAAUAAUGUAGAUAUAGAGGUGUCUUCUAUGGUUACUUAGUUUUCUGCAAAGUAAAAUUACUUUGUUAUAGAAAAUGAGAUAGUUCAACAAAAUUUUAUAAUUUGUCUCAUGAGAUUUUUGUAAACUGAUAUUGUUUUACGCAAAAUAGUUAAUUAAGAAAAAUUUAUUAGCUUAACGGAAAAAAUAAAGUUUCCUCUCAUAAGAAAAAAGCAUAUAAUAUUUUU